rnacentral:rRNA from 1 species
GAUGAACGCUGGCGGUGUGCCUAAUACAUGCAAGUCGAGCGAACAGACGAGGGGCUUACUCCUCUGACGUUAGCGGCGGACGGGUGAGUAACACGUGGAUAACCUACCUAUAAGACUGGGAUAACUUCGGGAAACCGGAGCUAAUACCGGAUAACAUGUUGAACCGCAUGGUUCAACAGUGAAAGACGGUCUUGCUGUCACUUAUAGAUGGAUCCGCGUCGCAUUAGCUAGUUGGUAAGGUAACGGCUUACCAAGGCAACGAUGCGUAGCCGACCUGAGAGGGGGGAGCGCCAACCUGGGAAGUGAGACCGGGCCCAGACCCAGCGGGGAGGGACAAGAGGGAAUUCGCCGGAAGAGGGGGAGAGCCGGAGGGAGAAGGCCCGGGGGGGAGAAAAAGUUGUUGGGAUCGAAAAACUUGUUUAUUGGGGAAAAACAAAUGUGAAAAUAACUAUACACGUCUUGACGGUACCUAACAAAAAAGCCACGGCUAAUCACGGG